CCUACGGGGGGCAGCAGUGGGGAAUAUUGCGCAAUGGGCGAAAGCCUGACGCAGCGACGCCGCGUGAGGGAUGAAGGUCUUCGGAUCGUAAACCUCUGUCAGCAGGGAAGAACAGUCACUGUGGUAAUCAGCAGUGAAUUGACGGUACCUGCAAAGAAAGCACCGGCUAACUCCGUGCCAGCAGCCGCGGUAAUACGGAGGGUGCGAGCGUUAGCCGAAAUUAUUGGGCGAAAAGCGCACGUAGGCGGUUUGUCAAUUCAGGGGGAAAAUCCCGGGGCUAAACCCGGAAUCGCCUUUGAAACUGGCAAACUGGAGUGUGAGAGAGGUAAGCGGAAUUCCAGGUGUAGGAGUGAAAUCCGUAGAUAUCUGGAGGAACAUCAGUGGCGAAGGCGACUAACUGGGACAUAACUGACGCUGAGGAGCGAAAGCGUGGGUAGCAAACAGGAUUAGAUACCCUAGUAGUC
rnacentral:rRNA from 1 species